rnacentral:rRNA from 1 species
UUCCAGACUCCUACGGGAGGCAGCAGUGGGGGAUAUUGCACAAUGGGGGAAACCCUGAUGCAGCGACGCCGCGUGAGUGAAGAAGUAUUUCGGUAUGUAAAGCUCUGUCAGCAGGGAAGAAAAUGACAGUACCUGACCAAGAAGCCCCGGCUAACUACGUGCCAGCAGCCGCGGUAAUACGUAGGGGGCAAGCGUUAUCCGGAUUUACUGGGUGUAAAGGGAGCGUAGACGGUUAUGUAAGUCUGGAGUGAAAGCCCGGGGCCCAACCCCGGGACUGCUUUGGAAACUGUGUAACUGGAGUGCAGGAGAGGUAAGUGGAAUUCCUAGUGUAGCGGUGAAAUGCGUAGAUAUUAGGAGGAACACCAGUGGCGAAGGCGGCUUACUGGACUGUAACUGACGUUGAGGCUCGAAAGCGUGGGGAGCAAACAGGAUUAGAUACCCCCGUAC